GCCGGAGUGGCGGAACUGGCAGACGCACAGGACUUAAAAUCCUGCGACCUAUAAAGUCGUACCGGUUCGAUUCCGGUCUCCGGCA
rnacentral:tRNA from 1 species